rnacentral:rRNA from 1 species
AGUGAACGCUAGCGGUAUGCCUAACACAUGCAAGUCGAACGAAUGGCGGACGUGUGAGGAAUACAUCGGUAUCUACUCUGUGGAGGGGGAUACGGUUGGGUAUCUUACGCUCAUACCGCCCACUAUUGCCUGAGACGAUGUAGGAUUAGCUAGGUGGUGGGGGAAAGGCACACCAAGGCGACGAUCCGUAGCUGGGCUGAGAGGAUGAUCAGCCACACUGGAACUGAGACACGGUCCAGACUCCUACGGGAGGCAGCAGUGGGGAAUAUUGGACAAUGGGCGCAAGCCUGAUCCAGCCAUGCCGCGUGUGUGAAGAAGGCCUUCGGGUUGUAAAGCACUUUUGUUGUGAAAGCGGUACCUCAAGAAUAAGCACCGGCUAACUACGUGCCAGCCGACGCGGUAAUUC